rnacentral:rRNA from 1 species
GAUGAACGCUAGCGGCAGGCCUAAUACAUGCAAGUCGAACGAGAUUAAGAGGCUUGCUUCUUAUGAAAGUGGCGCACGGGUGCGUAACGCGUAUGCAACCUACCUUAAUCAGGGGGAUAGCCCGAAGAAAUUCAGAUUAAGACCGCAUAAAAACACAGGAUAGCAUUAUCCAAUGUUCAAAUAUUUAUAGGAUUAAGAUGGGCAUGCGUGUCAUUAGCUAGUUGGCGGGGUAACGGCCCACCAAGGCGACGAUGACUAGGGUAUCUGAGAGGAUGACCCCCCACAAUGGUACGGUGACACGGACCAGACGCCUACGGGAGGCAGCAGUAAGGAAUAUUGGUCAAUGGCGGUAACUCUGAACCAGCCAUGCCGCGUGCAGAAAGACAGCCCUCUGGGUCGUAAACUGCUUUUAUUCGGGAAUAAACCUUUCUACGUGUAGGAAGCUGAAUGUACCGAAGGAAUAAGGAUCGGCUAACUCCGUGCCAGCCGCCGCCGUAA